CCUACGGGAGGCAGCAGUGAGGAAUAUUGGUCAAUGGCCGGAAGGCUGAACCAGCCAAGCCGCGUGAAGGACGAAGGUGCCAAGCAUUGUAAACUUCUUUUGUCAAGGGACAAAAUCAGGCGCGAGAGCCUGACCGAGGGUACUUUAAGAAAAAGCAUCGGCUAACUCCGUGCCAGCAGCCGCGGUAAUACGGGGGAUGCGAGCGUUAUCCGGAUUUAUUGGGGUUAAAGGGUGCGUAGGCGGGCUGUUAAGUCAGCGGGAAAAUCGCGGGGCUAAACCCCGACGAGCCGUUGAAACUGGCUGUCUUGAGAUGUCGAGAGGUAUGCGGAAUGCGUAGUGUAGCGGUGAAAUGCUUAGAUAUUUCGCAGAACUCCGAUUGCGAAGGCAGCAUACCGGAGGCGAUCUGACGCUGAGGCACGAAAGCGUGGGUAUCGAACAGGAUUAGAUACCCGAGUAGUC
rnacentral:rRNA from 1 species